rnacentral:rRNA from 2 species
AAAGGCGGCCAGAGCGGUGGGGACACACCCGUACCCAUUCCGAACACGGAAGUUAAGCCCACCAGCGUACCGUGAAGUACUGGAGUGAGCGAUCCUCUGGGAACC